ACUCCUACGGGAGGCAGCAGUGGGGAAUUUUGGACAAUGGGCGAAAGCCUGAUCCAGCAAUGCCGCGUGAGUGAAGAAGGCCUUCGGGUUGUAAAGCUCUUUUGUCAGGGAAGAAACGGUGAAAGCUAAUAUCUUUUGCUAAUGACGGUACCUGAAGAAUAAGCACCGGCUAACUACGUGCCAGCAGCCGCGGUAAUACGUAGGGUGCAAGCGUUAAUCGGAAUUACUGGGCGUAAAGCGUGCGCAGGCGGUUUUGUAAGUCUGAUGUGAAAUCCCCGGGCUCAACCUGGGAAUUGCAUUGGAGACUGCAAGGCUAGAAUCUGGCAGAGGGGGGUAGAAUUCCACGUGUAGCAGUGAAAUGCGUAGAUAUGUGGAGGAACACCGAUGGCGAAGGCAGCCCCCUGGGUCAAGAUUGACGCUCAUGCACGAAAGCGUGGGGAGCAAACAGGAUUAGAUACCCUUGUAGUCCCAUG
rnacentral:rRNA from 1 species